GACAAAUUGAAAAUAAAAAACUAUUUUCCACUAGUAAAGAAGCUCUUAAUUUUCUCAAAGAAUUUAAUAAAGCACCUAAAAAGACACCAAAUAAAAGCAAUACAUGUUAUAGACUUAACGUGCCUAUGUCACCUAAUUUGGUGGGGAUGAGCAUCCAAAGGAAUUCAUGAUUUUUCUUCCCCAUGAGAGUUCCUAAUUAAUCACACAAGAAGUGCGAUGGAUAAUGAAGCACCACAUAUAUGACUAGGCAGUUUGAGAUCUAAAAGCAUGAAAUAUCUUAUUUUUUCAAUCAACUUAAUUAGAUGAAUAUGCAAUUUAUUACACAUUUGAUCCCUAAACAUGAUCUUAGUUUUGAAACAUCUUUUUAGGGUGUAACUUAACAGUCU
rnacentral:misc_RNA from 1 species